rnacentral:rRNA from 1 species
AUGGAUACACACUUGAAAGUAGUAUUUUGGAACAUCCACGGCCUCAAUAGUCGGGCCAAACGGACUGCAGUUCAUAGUGUGUUCUGCGCUGAAUUACCGUGUAUUGUCUGCCUCCUUGAAAUGAAGCUAAAUUUCGUCUCGUUGUCUACUGUCGCGGAUAUUCGAGGUCCACAGUUCUUGGAAGUCUACUUCCUGCCCGCGGAUGGGACGCGUGGCAGUAUCCUGCUUGCUGGCAGCGAGACAUCAUCUCCCUCUCUCACCCGUACAUUGGCACGCACCAUAUCACAGCUCUGGGAACCAGCACUGGUGGCUCACUGGGGUAUACGGGCCCCAAGUGUGACCAAGCAUAGCUCGCGUUCCUUUCUGAUCUACAAGAGGAACGGGCCACCUCUGGACCCUGGCUCAUAG